UACGGAGGGUGCAAGCGUUAUCCGGAUUCACUGGGUUUAAAGGGUGCGUAGGCGGUCUUAUAAGUCAGUGCUGAAAUAUCCCGGCUUAACCGGGAGGGUGGCAUUGAUACUGUAGGACUUGAGUAAAGUUGAGGUUGGCGGAAUUGACGGUGUAGCGGUGAAAUGCUUAGAUAUCGGGAGGAACACCAGUAGCGAAGGCGGCUCGCUGGGCCACACCUGACGCUGAGACGCGAAAGCUAGGGGAGCGAACGAGGAUUGAUAA
rnacentral:rRNA from 1 species